AGGAAUUAAAUCAACAACUAGAAAAAAGAAAAAAAAAUGGAAGAACGUGAAAAAAGAAAGAUAAUUGCUGAAGAAAAGCACAAGGAAUGGGUUCAGAAAAAGAAUGGACAGAAAAGGAAAGAAAGAGAACAAAAAAUGAAUAAAGAAAUGGAGGAGAAAGCAAUGAAAGAACUAGGGAAAGAACAUUUGCAGGAAAAAGCAAAAGAAAAAUAUCAAGAAUGGUUAAAGAAAAAAAAUUGCUGAAGAAUGUGAGAAGAAGAAGAAAGAAAAGGAAAAAGAAAAACAAUGGCAAGCCGAAUUACAAGAGAAAAAGGAAAUAGCAGAUAAAAAGUUUAAGGAAUGGUUGGAAAAUGCAAAAAGUAAACCUCGUCCAGCUGUAAAGAGC